rnacentral:rRNA from 1 species
UUAAAUUGAAGAGUUUGAUCAUGGCUCAGAUUGAACGCUGGCGGCAGGCCUAACACAUGCAAGUCGAACGGUAACAGGAAGCAGCUUGCUGCUUUGCUGACGAGUGGCGGACGGGUGAGUAAUGUCUGGGAAACUGCCUGGUGGAGGGGGAUAA